GACGAACGCUGGCGGCGUGCUUAACACAUGCAAGUCGAACGGAAAGGCCCUGCUUUUGUGGGGUGCUCGAGUGGCGAACGGGUGAGUAACACGUGAGUAACCUGCCCUUGACUUUGUGAUAACUUCAGGAAACUGGGGCUAAUACCGGAUAGGAGCUCCUGCUGCAUGGUGGGGGUUGGAAAGUUUCGGCGGUUGGGGAUGGACUCGCGGCUUAUCAGCUUGUUGGUGGGGUAGUGGCUUACCAAGGCUUUGACGGGUAGCCGGCCUGAGAGGGUGACCGGCCACAUUGGGACUGAGAUACGGCCCAGACUCCUACGGGAGGCAGCAGUGGGGAAUAUUGCACAAUGGGCGGAAGCCUGAUGCAGCAACGCCGCGUGCGGGAUGACGGCCUUCGGGUUGUAAACCGCUUUCGCCGGUGACGAAGCGUGAGUGACGGUAAUGGGUAAAGAAGCACCGGCUAACUACGUG
rnacentral:rRNA from 1 species